rnacentral:lncRNA from 1 species
ACAUAUGUGUGCUCUUUUUCCCUAUCUUUGGUUUUGUCCCACUGGGUUUUCCAAAGAUAGGUUUUUAAUGAGGCCAUAUGUUGCUUUCCUAUCACUCAUUUGAUGAUCUCAGUUCAAGACUUUAUUUUAAUUAUUUAUCUUUGUUAACAUGAAGCAGAAUUAGGCUGCUAGACUUGAGAAUUAAGCUGCCAGACUUGAGAACCCUUAUAAGGUUUUAUAAGGUUUUUAUAAGGUUUUAUAAGGUUUAUUUUUAAGGCCCAUUUAGAGACCAAGGAGCCUGUUCCUUGCCUUCUCUAUAAAUAUGUGUCUGAAAACCCUAAUAGAACUAUCCAAUCUUUUAUUUUCAGACUCUUGUCUCUCUCUGACGGCUGCAAGUCUUCUUGUAGAUCUGAGAUUUCUUGAGUCUUUGUUAGUGUGUCAUAUCUAACAAAACCACAAGAGUGAUUGUCUUGGUGUGUCAUAUCCAAGGGAUUCACUUAGGAGUAUCAAGGAGACCUCUCACAUCUCUUUGUGUUACCAUUCAUUCCACAAACCUUGAAGCAGAUUGAGUCUUUGAUUCUCUGUUUGCAAGGAUCUAUCCCAUUCCAACCAGAGAAGCAUCCUAGGAGUGUUUUAUUUGGUAUCAGAGCAAAUCUCUGGAAGGAAGUUUCUAAACUCUCUAUUUCUAUUUUCAAUUUCGAAAUUUUCUUACAAACCCUAGAUCUGAAAAAAAAAAAUUGAAAUUGUUCUAAUCUGUUUAGAUCUGUUUUGUUUGGGUUUGUGGUCGAAAUUCUCUGUCUAGAUUUGAAUCUGAUUCGAUUUGGGCUUGAAUAGGUUGAGUUUCUCUUGAUCUGUUUGAGUUUUUGGUCAAUCUGUUCUAGAUCUAAUCUCAGGUGGAGUAUCUGAUUAUGGUCUGAUUUAGGGCUUGUUAUUUUCAAUCUGAGUUCAAU